rnacentral:rRNA from 1 species
CGUAGCUGAACUGAGAGGUUGAUCGGCCACAUUGGGACUGAGACACGGCCCAAACUCCUACGGGAGGCAGCAGUAGGGAAUCUUCCACAAUGGACGAAAGUCUGAUGGAGCAACGCCGCGUGAAGGAUGAAGUAUUUCGGAAUGUGCGUGAGAGUAACUGUUCACGUAUUGACGGUAUCUGACCAGAAAGCCACGGCUAACUACGUGCCAGCAGCCGCGGUAAUACGUAGGUGGCAAGCGUUGUCCGGAUUUAUUGGGCGUAAAGGGAACGCAGGCGGUCUUUUAAGUCUGAUGUGAAAGCCUUCGGCUUAACCGAAGUAGUGCAUUGGAAACUGGAAGACUUGAGUGCAGAAGAGGAGAGUGGAACUCCAUGUGUAGCGGUGAAAUGCGUAGAUAUAUGGAAGAACACCAGUGGCGAAAGCGGCUCUCUGGUCUGUAACUGACGCUGAGGUUCGAAAGCGUGGGUAGCAAACAGGAUUAGAUACCCUGGUAGUCCACGCCGUAAACGAUGAGUGCUAAGUGUUGGAGGGUUUCCGCCCUUCAGUGGUGCAGCUAACGCAUUAAGCACUCCGCCUGGGGAGUACGGUCGCAAGACUGAAACUCAAAGGAAUUGACGGGGGCCCGCACAAGCGGUGGAGCAUGUGGUUUAAUUCGAAGCAACGCGAAGAACCUUACCAGGUCUUGACAUCUUCUGACAAUUCCAGAGAUGGAACGUUCCCUUCGGGGACAGAAUGACAGGUGGUGCAUGGUUGUCGUCAGCUCGUGUCGUGAGAUGUUGGGUUAAGUCCCGCAACGAGCGCAACCCUUAUUGUCAGUUGCCAUCAUUAAGUUGGGCACUCUGGCGAGACUGCCGGUGACAAACCGGAGGAAGGUGGGGAUGACGUCAAAUCAUCAUGCCCCUUAUGACCUGGGCUACACACGUGCUACAAUGGACGGUACAACGAGUCGCUAACUCGCGAGGGCAAGCUAAUCUCUUAAAGCCGUUCUCAGUUCGGAUUGCAGGCUGCAACUCGCCUGCAUGAAGUCGGAAUCGCUAGUAAUCGCGAAUCAGCAUGUCGCGGUGAAUACGUUCCCGGGCCUUGUACACACCGCCCGUCACACCAUGAGAGUUUGUAACACCCAAAGUCGGUGGGGUAACCUUUUGGAGCCAGCCGCCUAAGGUGGGACAGAUGAUUGGGGUGAAGUCGGAACAAGGUAGCCGUAGGAGAGCCUGCGGCUG